UACGGAGGGUGCAAGCAUUAAUCGGAUUUAUUGGGCGUAAAGGGCGCGUAGGCGGAAAGACAAGUCAGAUGUGAAAUCCCGGGGCUCAACCUCGGAACAGCAUUUGAAACUAUCUUUCUAGAGGGUAGGCGGAGAAAACGGAAUUCCACAAGUAGCGGUGAAAUGCGUAGAUAUGUGGAAGAACACCGGUGGCGAAGGCGGUUUUCUAGCUUAUUCCUGACGCUGAGGCGCGAAAGCAAGGGGAUCAAACAGG
rnacentral:rRNA from 1 species